UGGCGGACGGGUGAGUAACGCGUGGGUAACCUGCCUCACACUGGGGGAUAACAGUUAGAAAUAGCUGCUAAUACCGCAUAAGCGCACGGUUCCGCAUGGAACAGUGUGAAAAACUCCGGUGGUGUGAGAUGGACCCGCGUCUGAUUAGCCAGUUGGCGGGUAACGGCCCACCAAAGCGACGAUCAGUAGCCGGCCUGAGAGGGUGAACGGCCACAUUGGGACUGAGACACGGCCCAA
rnacentral:rRNA from 1 species